rnacentral:rRNA from 1 species
ACGCUCGACACCUACGGGAGACAGCAGUGGGGAAUAUUGCACAAUGGGGGAAACCCUGAUGCAGCAACGCCGCGUGAGUGAAGAAGUAUUUCGGUAUGUAAAGCUCUAUCAGCAGGGAAGAUAAUGACGGUACCUGACUAAGAAGCUCCGGCUAAAUACGUGCCAGCAGCCGCGGUAAUCUGAGCGGGCUGGCAAGGC